CAGGCUGUCGGUGACAACAGCAGCAGCAGCAGCAACAACAACAACAACAACAACAACAACAGCAACAACAACAACAACGACAACGACAAUGACAACAACGCCGUGCUCUCCCUGCAGGGCCACACACCUCGCGCAGACGGCAAGAGAAAUGUGGAGCAGAUCGCGCGCACUCCAGGCGUCCUCCGCUGCCUGGAGAGAUUUCGACGCGGUGAUUAGAGAAAGGGAGAAAGUGACGGACAGUUGAAAGAAAACGGAGUGGAACAGAAAACGCCGCGGGAUUCGAGUGAGUCCUCAGCUCGAGCCGCACAAGAUUCGGACCCUUGAAGCCGCGAGUCCUUUAGCAUAAUGGUCCAAUACUUCGAUAACUCCUUUGCUCCAAUAGUCCGAUAACUCCUCCAUCACCAGACAAGUCACCAAUCGAUAGUUAAAAGUAAUUGAUGGGUCAUUACCAUUUGGAGAGAAAGGACACAAAGUUUUGGUGUGUUUGGGUAGUUUUUUUUUUCUUUUUUCGUUGUUUUACUUUUGUGCAGUGGCAAAUCACUGUAUGCCGUUGGGCCUUUAUGUACAUACGAGUAGCUAUAUGUAUUAAGUUCUCUAGGGUGAUCCCUUUCCAGCUGGGGCCGACGAGGCUAAGAGUAUGAAUGAUGUGCAUGAGUGUGUGGUGCUUUGUCUGGGCCACCCCGCGUGAGAUUGCCGGCCUGGUAUAAAGAUAGAUAAUCUUUUACUUUUUCUUUACUUUUUUUCUUUCAUUAGUGCAGGAAGCAACUGGUCGUAAUUAACAAGAUAAUGACCCUCCAGUAAUUAACUGAACGAGGGGUAGUUUGCGUAGUUCCAUAAAUUUUCAAAGGAUACUCUAUAAUCUCAUUUUUUUCCUCUUUUUUUUUCUCUCUCUCAUCUCUUUUAUGAAGUUCUGUACACCACCUCCAUUAGCUCACGGUGAGACGACGAGUUCGGAGAAAAGCGGAAAGGAGGAAGAAGAGGAAGGUUUAAUAAAAAUGAUUUCGUGGAAGGAGAAAAGUGAAGAGUAGGAAAGGAAGCGAAGUAAAGAAGGAAUGAAAGAAAGUAUGACUCUCUCUCUCUCUCUCUCUCUCUCUCUCUCUCUUCCCACUCAUGCUCGUGUUUUCAGCUCCUUUUGCAGUUUUGAAGCUUUGAAGUGACCCAUGAACCCGACAUGGAGCUCCGAAGCAGUUUGAGUGCGGGAAUGAAGCGCGAAGCAAGUAAUCGAUGCAAAUGUCUGGUGUUAUUGAGACUUUAGAUUGGCAGGAAAAAAAAAGGAAGGAAAAAAAAUCUAGUAAUGGCGAAAUUCUGUUGUUUAUUGGUAGUCAAGUCUGGUAAUGUGAAUAUAAGUAGUAGUAAUAGUAGAAAUGGUAGUGGUAGUGGUGAUGGUGGUAGUGGAGGUAGUAGUUAUGGUGAUGGUGGUAGUAGUGGUGGUGGUUGUGGUGGUGGUGGCGUUAGUAAAUGGUAGUGUUAGGAAGUGAACGUGUUAGUAGUGGUGGUGGUGGUGGUGGUGGUAACGGUAAUAGUGGUAACGGUGGUAGUAGUAACAGUGGUGGUGUUUGUGGUGGUGGUAGUUUUAAUAGUAUUAGUAGUAGUAGUAGUAGUGGUGGUGGUGGUGGUGAUAGUAGCGGACGUGUGAUUAAAAGCAUGAAAGAAUCGUGAGGGAAUUUGAAAUGGAAGGAAUGACGGCGAUGAUGAUGAUAAUGAUGAUAAAAGCGUGAAAGGUUCGGUGGUUCGUUCAGGGUUUUGCGUCCAAAUGAGGCUUUAAUGAAUGCAGCGAGCCAGACGGUCUGUUGCCCUCAGUCCCUUAGUUGUAUACAGACUGGCGAGGAGGCUGCGCGGAGGAAAGGAAUGAAGAAAAGAGGAAGCUAGACGUAUCAAGAUCCUCUUUUGACCGGAAAGGGAACAGCUAAACGGGUCCCCAGAUCACGAUGCCCAGUCGCCGCCCAGGUGUAGUGAGAGGAGAGUGUGGUGUCAGGUUCCUCAGUGCUCCUCAUGCCUCCCCUGCCUGCCCCGGGUGUCUCCUUCAGCUAUGAGGACGAAGACGAAAAUAAGGAAGAAAAGAGGAGAGGGUAAGGAAGAUAAUGGAGAAAAAGGUACAAAAGACGAAGGCAACAACGAUGAAGAUGGAGGAAGAAAAAGACGGCGAAGAAGACGAAGGAGAAAAGACGAAGAAAAUACAGAAGGAAAAACGGAAAAGACGAAGGAAGAAAGGAUGAAGAUGACAGACAUGGAGACGAAGAAAUAGAGAGACGAGCGUGGGCGUGUCAGCAUGGAGGAGUCAACCAGCCAGGUGAGGGAAAUAGAGUGCCGAGUGACAGUCAACUUGCGGGGGUAAACAAAAGGAGACUGACAAGGUCCGGCGCGCCACAGUGGCUUAGUGGGCCCUCGUUACGGCGCAGUAUUAACGCGAUGAAGCGCAUUAAAGGUGAAGGCAGUCACGGGAACACAGGUCAGAGAGAGAAAAGACAGAACAGAGGAAAAGCAAAAACAAAAACAAAAAAAACAAGAAAAAAAUGACUGACAGCUGGAGGAAACAGCACAGAAUGGAAACCAAGGCGGUAACGCGGGGCAGCCAGGUGCGAGGGCAGGUGUGGGACAAACAAGUGCCCACGCCUGAAGGUCCACAAGUAAUACGGGAACACGGAAGCUGCGGCCGGUCACACACACUGUCCUCCUUCAACAGCUCAAGGCUCACUGCGGGAGGCGGAGUGGUGGAGUGGAGGAGUUUAGCAGCGGGCCUUGUAACAGCGACGAUGACCAGGAGGACAAGGGCGAGGACGAGGAGUGAGAAGUGGGGAGCAGCACGAGGCCCAUGCAACACACCACCAAACUCAAACACAGUCGCCAACUCGCAACACAUACCUGCAGCAAACUCUCCACACUGGCCACACACCUGCGGAAGGAGAAAGUUGCUUCAAAACAACUAGAACAGUGGAUACAGAUAAUGAAUAUGGCCCGAGGCUCCAGUUCCACCGUCACGCCAGGCCGGAUCACAGGCAACCUAGAUUACUACUGCAGCUCCUGUGCCUCUCUCCUCUCUCCUCCUCCAUCACCGUGUUGGUUCCCUGGGACAGAUUCACUUCAGUGGAACGGUGCUUAGCUCAACCGUCCUUUCCAUAAAGUUAGGCAAUCUUUUAUUUAUUUAUUUUUUAUUUAUUUAUCUAACUAUAAUGCUACUUUAUUUAUUUAUUAAUUUUGCAGGGAGACCAGCCAAGAGCAAAACAAACUGGUAUCAUAAACCCACAUUCAAAAGCCUGCAAAAAAGUUAAAACGGCGAAAAAUCAAUAAUAGGUGUGUGUGUGUGUGUGUGUGUGUGUGUGUGUGUGUGUGUGUGUGUGUGUGUGUGUGUGUGUGUGUGUGUGUGUGUGCUCUUUUUGCUAUUAGUAUUUUUAAUGUGUGAAGGGGACCAGCCAAGAAAAAAAUUAAAAAUCGGUUUAUUAUGUUUUUAGUGUAUGGUCCUAUACUGUAAACUUAAACCCUGAAUUGUAUAUGGGUUUGUAUGCAACUACCGUGUACAUUAUAGAAAUAUCCAUUUACACAUUUCCUACAUUUGUGUUUGCGUUCCCUCUUCUGACGAACCCAGCACCUGUACUUCCCUGCCUGGACUACUGAUGUGAACCAUACACAAACCAUACACGGAAAGACAAACGAUAAAGAACACCCACAAAGAUAAACGAUAAAGAAAACACAAAGAUAACAAUAAGAAUACACAAAGACACACAGAUAAUAAAAAAUAUCAAAGAAAACCGAAUAUGCUCAGUACUCGCCUUCCAGUCCAUCAUCAGCUCCCCAAGUGAUAAACCUUCCUGUGUAAGUCC